GAACACUUCAUGUGACAUGGUGUCCAGUGUGAAGGAGGAUGUCAGCAGACUUCAAAUCACUAACGUGACAUUGGAUCUCCAAGGACUGGACCUGUGCUGCUGGAAGUGUCUGCUGGGGUUAGAGUGUCUCUU